GGGGCGUUAGUUAAAUAAUAACCUUGCCUUGUCAAGGCAAACUAACAGGUUAAACCCCUGUACUCCCCC
rnacentral:tRNA from 1 species